AUUUAAGUAGUUUAUUAAAAAUUUUAAUUUGUGGAAUUAAAGAAAUGAUUUUUUCAUCUUAAAUA
rnacentral:tRNA from 1 species